rnacentral:rRNA from 1 species
AACGUAGGUUCCGAGCGUUAUCCGGAUUUACUGGGCGUAAAGCGCGUUCAGGCGGUUUGGCAAGUCGGGCAUGAAAUCUCUCGGCUCAACCGGGAGAGGUUGUCCGAUACUGCUGGACUUGAGGGCAGUAGAGGGUGGUGGAAUUCCACGUGUAGCAGUGAAAUGCGUAGAGAUGUGGAGGAACACCGAUGGCGAAGGCAGCCUCCUGGGCCAGCACUGACGCUCAUGCACGAAAGCGUGGGGAGCAAACAGG